rnacentral:rRNA from 1 species
CGCACAGCUCAGUAACAUGUGGCUAACCUGCCCUUGGGAUAGGAACACCCCCGGGAAACUGGGGCUAAUUCCCAAUAGGUGAAGAACUCUGGAAUGAGUCUCCGCCAGAAAAGACGUUUACGCCAUGCUUGUAGGCGUCGCCCAAGGAUGGGGCCGCAACCGAUCAGGUUGUUGGUGAGGUAACGGCUCACCAAGCCUUUUACCGGUACGGGCCGUGAGAGCGGGAGCCCGGAGAUGGGCACUGAGACAAGGGCCCAGGCCCUACGGGGCGCAGCAGUCGCGCAAACUUUGCAAUACACGAAAGUGUGACAGGGCUAUCCCGAGUGCCGCCCGCUGAGGGUGGCUUUUGCUCAGUUUAGCAAGCUGGGAGAAUAAGGAGAGGGCAAGUCUGGUGUCAGCCGCCGCGGUAAUACCAGCUCUCCGAGUGGUGUGGAUGUUUAUUGGGCCUAAAGCAUCCGUAGCUUGCUGUUCAAGUCCCCUGUUAAACCCAACGAAUUAAUCGUUGGAUCGCGGGGGAUACUGCUCAACUAGGGGGCGAGAGAGGCCGACGGUAUUUCCCGGGUAGGGGUGAAAUCCUAUAACCCCGGGAGACCACCAAUGGCGAAGGCUGUUGGCUAAAACGCCCUCAACGGUUAGGGAAUGAAGCCGGGGGAACCAACC